AGAAAUCCGCCUAUCUCUGCCUCCCAAGUGCUGGGAUUAAAGGCAUGCGCCACCACGCCCAGCCAGACUGAGUUUUCCGUUUUUAACCCUCCACCUUGUCUUCCACAUUAACACCACGAUUGUCUUUUUUUAAAACAAUAAAUAAGUAAGAACAUCUAUUCCUGAAAUAAGUUACCAUCACAGUUGUUUAUCUAUCACAAAGAAAAAGUUGUACAGACUUUACAGUUUGUCAUUCAGUCUUCCAAGAAGAUGACACCAAGCCACCACUCAGCUGUCUCCCUGACCACAGCACACCCUGGGUACUACAGUUUCACAUGUGUGCCUCUACACAAGCUGUUUCUCUGUCCUCACAACAGUAUUCAACAGAUAGAUUAUGGACAAAAGCAAUAUGCCAGACUAUUCUAGAUACAGUCAAUGGAGAGCCCGACACAGACAAGGUCAUGAGCAGCCUAGAUGAACAAGUCAAAAACGUUAAUCAAAUGUCACACACCAAAAAUGUUCAAGGGCAACAGCCAUUGAGGACACAGAAGAGGACAGGAACUGUACCAGGCUGCCCAAGUCAAGCUGGCCAGGGAAGGCAUCUAUGAGCACAUGCCCCGCCCACACCUUGAGUGCUGCUUGCCAGCUUCCGUAACUAUGGCGACAGUCUUUCUGACUUCCCUUUUCUCCUUCCCUCCGCCCCCUCACCAACUGAACUCAGUUCUUCCCAGUGAAUAUACAGUAUUCAGCCCCUGACUGCUUGCCCCUGGGAAUGCAGCCCAGCAUAUGAUGAGGACCCACAAACUACAUGACAAGGUCACAUGCAGGAGCAUGCGAACAGUUCCAGCUAAGUGAACACUCAGCAUCAACUGGCAGGCGUGAUGGGAUGUGCUUUCAAGAUAACCGACUCAACAUAACUCCCCGGAGCCAGCCCCGCCACUGUGGAGCAACUGUGUUAUUCUCCGCCCAAACCUGCUCAGACUGCAGAUUCAGGAGCCAAGCACUAAGGAGAGCAAGCUUAACCCAACAGCACGAGCUGGCUGGGAAAGCCAGGUAGCAUGGACACGGGUGACCGGGGCACCGGUUUGGGAACCAGCCCGGGCUUGGCCGCCCUCCCUCCCGCCGACCGCACUGGCACUCACUGUCCUGCAGGCGGCGGCGGA